UGAAUUGGUACAGAGGAGGGUUUUCUUUCACCAAAACAUCAAAACUAGGCUUGCAUCUCAGAUGUAAUUUCUGGCAAAUUGUAGCUGAACUUUCAGGUCUUCUUUUUAAUAAAACCCUCUCUCCCGCUACAGUGCAAAAUAUCAUAUCAUGAUUAAAAAAAAAUGUAGAGGAAUUUCAGUGUGUUAAAGGCAUGGGCACAAGCCUAAUCUGGACAUCCCUGAUCUCAAUCCCUCAGACGGCAGAGCAUCAAGAGCUGUCAUUCAUCAAUAGAUAGAUAGAUAGAUACUUUAUUGAUCCCAGAGGGAAAUUCAAGGCAUCCAGUAGCUUGCACAUUAGACAAGACACACACAUUACACCAGACACACAAAUAAGAUUAAAUAAAUAAAAGAAGAUAGACCACUCAAUAAAAACCACUAACUAAACUAAAAAUAAAAAUAAAAUUUUGUCAGCAUCCAGUCUCACAGAAUAUAACGGAGUAAAUAUAGUGUAAUAAUGCAGUAAUAAGGAGGUAGCUGAUAGCUGAUAUAAUCAUAUAAACACGGGAUUACUUUGGGGGAACCUUUGUGAAACACAACAAUAUAGCAUUACAUUCACAAAUGACGCAGUGUAUGUGCAAAAAAAAAAAAAAAAAGCAUUAUGUUAAGCUUGUCCAGAAGCAGCGCUGACUUCACUGGGUUCACAGGCAUCUGGGUUGGACCUUCACAUGGUUGAAAUUUGUAUUGUGGUCAGAUGAAUCAGUAGAAAGAAGUGGGAAGAAUUAGGCACCAUGUGUGUCAAACCAAAGACAAAAAAAGACAAUCCAAGGGGAUGGAUACAUGAACAUUUCCAAGUCGCUGAAUAUGUCUUGAACUUUAUUUACAUCAGUUAUGAAGAAAUACAAACAGUAUGGCCUACAAUUCAGGGAUUGAUUGAUUAGUACUAACAAACUAGAUAAAGUUGGACAGAGGAAAAAAACGUGAACUAGCUUGGGUUCAUACUAUCUGCAAUGAAGUAAGUCAAAGUCAGUGUAAGAAUCUCUGUGUAACACCCAACCCCGACCCCAUUUUCCAUACUGUCUCAACUUUUUCUGAUGUUGGGUUGCAUGUCUCUUUGAAAGAUCCUUGGGUACCGCUGGAAUGACUUUGUGUCUGACUAACUUAACUACACUAUUGGUAAUUAUGCUGAUUGGUCCAAAUAUUACCAGGUUGAGCAAUAAAUGUCAGUCUUAUCGGCAGCAUAAAAUGCCCCGCUGGUUCCCAACUGGAUAUCAAUCAUCUCUAAUCUCCGCUCAAGUUGAGAAAAUGGAUCCGUGGGGAAUUCUCAGGCCUAUAAUCGAAAUCAAGGCCGAAUCACUAAAUUUCCUCUGAGCGUACAGUUGGUGAAUUCAGUACAGUUGACAUUUGAGACUGGACAGUGCGGAGCUGGUGAUUGUUGUUUUUUCAAAGUUCGUGACGCUUUAAGAAUGUUAAAUGAGAAUCAGACGUGGGCGACCCGCAAAUCUGUCAAAUCUCAAACAUGAGACCUCUUGUUGACUGACAGGAGAUUUCACAGCAGUUGUCUCAGUGAGGCAGUAUGUACAGUAGAUAACGGAAAGAAAUAAGCAUCAGCAAAAUAAGUGUUGACUCAUUUGGCUGGUUGUACAUUUAGGGGGAAAAAAACAGAUGAGAAUCUUUUUUUUUUUUUUUUUUUUAUCUUUUACUUUGUACAAGCACCGCGGUGUAAUACCUCAAUCAAAACCUAUUUUACUGCCGAAGGUUCUAUUGUUGUAAAAUACAGUUUUAUUUGGUGUAAAAUCUUAGUUUUAUAAAAAAGGAAAGUAAUGUUGGUUCAGAAGUUGUUGAUAUAAAUUGUGGGUUUGUGAUGUUUUUAAUUUUACUUGCUAACCCAGAAUGGAAAAAGUAGAAUGUUGUGUUGACUUGUCACAAACAUUUACUUCUCUGGUGGAUCUGGAACUUCUUGGAUUCGCUUUGGCUCUGUGAUGUUGAAUCUGGCAAGUUUUCUGUCAUUGUUCAUUUCAAUUAACUUUAAUGGAGGUGAACUCAUUUGGGGGCAGAUCAGAUCCUAACGCAGACGACCUUUUUAAUGAAUACACCUGAAAAGUGUUUUGAGGUAUUUUUGUCAUGAACUGGUGGUGAUUGUCAAAAGGUAAAAUCACAGUGCAUUUCUGAUGUAUUUCUUUCAAUCUUGUAUCCUUCCCGCCAUCUGUUGGCUCCUGUCAUGUAAAUAUUCUUGAUUAAAUUAAUUUAAGGAUUUCUGA